rnacentral:lncRNA from 1 species
AUCGUCUGAGGACCAAGAUAAAGUCAACAUGAGAGGGGAAGAUCAUAAUCCACCUCACUCUUGUUCAAAGUUGCCGCCUCCAUCCAGGACUUAACCAUCCAUCCGCCGCAUGCGGAAUCGCUUCCGGCGGCGCCGGAGCUUCCAUAGGCCCCAACCUUACCCCAAAAUGAUCAUAUCUUCUCACUUUGUUAAAUCCCCAACUCGAUUUUAACCCAAACCUCAAAACCGAGCUAAAUCGAAGGCUACAAUGGAUGAACUCUAAUUUUCACAUCCUAAGUUAAAUAGUGAUAACUCAAGAAUUUGGUCCCCAAGUUUAGGGAUAAUGCUUCUCAGGGAGAAAUCUACGAUAUGGCAAUGAUUUUCUCAACGAAAAGGGACGAUGAGCUUACCGCCGAAUCGGAACCUCACUUCGGAGAUGUGAUUGAUUGAAGAAGACGAAUGGGGAAUGCCUCUAAUAAGGUAAUAUGCUCUUUUCUUCUUACUGUUUCUUCUUGCGCGCGUGUUGUGUUCUUCUUCUCCUUCUUCGGUUCGAUUCCGUUUCUGGAGUGAUUCGGUUGUGUGUUGUCGUAGCUGUGUCGCGCGAGUGCAUAAAGAGGAGGUUUAGCUCAACCACAUUUGGAGCUUCAUUGUGAAGCUCCAAUGGAUUCUUAAGAGAGCUCUGGGUAGGGUUUUUGUUAGAUAGAAUGGAGAAGAUGAACGAGUGAAUGUGAUCAAGAAGUGAUUGAAUUGUGAUUAACCAUUGAUUAGGGAUAGUUAUUGGAUUAUAUAGAGCUGGAAUUGUGACAGAUUAGGGAAAGAUUUCAGGCGGGAUUAGUUACAAGUUAGGGCACGAUUAACUUUCUGUUAGGUUGAGAUGAAAAUUUGUUAGAAGUUAACUAACACCGUGAAACUUUGUUAUGAUGCUAUUAAAAUGUUGUUUUGAAAUAAUGAGGUUAGUUCUAGAUCAUUUAUGGUAGUCUGUUUUCAAUCUGUUCUAAACCUCUGUUAAACAUAAUCGUGUAGGUGGCGGGAUGCAAAAUUUCUUUUGUUUGGCGAGGUCCGGAUUUGAUUGGAAGCCGAGUGUUCAGACCUCCUUCUAGCAUGUGAUUUUGCAAGGUUAGUUAUACUUUAGUUUUAAGUUCCAUUAACUUAAUAUUAGUUCAGGUUAUUGAAGUGUGUUUUUGUUAAAAUGAAAUUGUUAGUUCAGUGAGUAAAAACUGCACUAGGUUGGAAUUUUUGUUUUGUGUUAUUGCCUCAUGAAAAUUAGUUGCACUAUCUAGGUUAUAUCACCGAUGGGGGUUGGUUUUACUAUUAGAUAAAUUAGUUACAAAUGAAAAAUGCUGAUUGUUGUGAACUGUUAUCACGCCAAAAGUCAGUUAGUUUUUCUAUUCCAUAAACAUCCAAAGUUCCUUUUAUCUUUCUGUUAUGCUGUUAUGUUAUGCUAACUGAAAUGUAAUGCCAAUUGAAUGCAAGGAUUCUUGGUAGGUGCUAAUUUUUCCAUUGGGAGUUGAAUUGUUAGUUUAGUGAGAUUGUUAAAUUGUUAGGUGAAUUUAUGGAUAUUGAUAAUUGCUCUAUUAGUAAUUGGUUAUCAAUUAACUUAAUUUCCUAUUAGCUGAAAGUUAAUGUUAUAAAAUUGGUUCAAAUAUUAAUAUCCGUAUUUUUUCCGUAUUUUUCCGUAUUUUUUACGGUUUAUGACUUUUACUUUCUUGAGAUGCUUAUGUGAUGAAAAGCGGUAAAGUGCGGAAAGUAAAGAACACCAUGAUGUAUAGUGGUUCCCCUCAUAGAUUGAGAGUACUCCACUCCCCUUUCAACACGAAAGAGAAUUCACUAUAAUGUUAGAUUCCUAGACAAGACACCUUAAGACCUUUAUAUCUAAUUCUAACACACCAAGAACAAUCCUCUUGGAUUUACAAUGUUUAAAGUCCAAUCGAGACUCAAUUUCUCACAAAAGGACCUCUUGCAUCCACACACCGGAUAGCAAGGAUAAAACCUUACAUAACACACCAAGAACAAUCCUCUUGGAUUUACAAUGUUUAAAGUCCAAUCGAGACUCAAUUUCUCACAAAAGGACCUCUUGCAUCCACACACCGGAUAGCAAGGAUAAAACCUUACAAACUUAUUCUUCUCAAUCCUAAAAAUAAGUUGUAAUUAAGAAAUAUAAUUCUGAAUUUUUGUAGAAGAUGAAAUAGUUGGAAAUUUGAAGUAUCUCAAUUUAUCAAUUGAUCUUCUCCUUUGUAACACUCAAUUCUCACAAUAAUUAUAUAAGUGUUCUUUGUAUGAAAUGAAACUAUGAUGCUUAAAAAGGAAAGUUUAUGCAAGGUUUCACUCUUAAGAAAAUUUGGAAGAACACUUAAAAAUGUUUGAAAGAAUGUGUGUAAUUGAUUUGAAAUUUUUGCAAGGAGGUGAAUUUGAAAUCUGAAAAAAAAUGAUGUAUAUAUUAGGGUUGGCAAUUGGAUCCAUUUAGAGAAAAUCCAUCCAAUCCAUCCAUCAAAAAAUCCAUCUAAUCCAUACACUACAUAAAAAAUUAAGUUAAUGGAUUGAUCUAAUCCAUCCAUUUAUAAGCAUGGAUUAUCCAAUCCAUCCAACACAUUUUAAUGAUUCAAUGGAUUUUUUUAUCUAAUUUUAAAAAAAUAAUUUAUUUUAAAUAUUAAUUUUUUUUUUUUUGAAAAUAAAAAAUAAUUUUUUUUUUGAAAAAUAAAAAUAAAUUUAUUUUUUUCGAAAAAAAAUAUUUUUUUUUGAAAAUACAAAAAAUCUUUUUUUUCCAAAAAUUUAAAAAUAAUUUUGAAAAAUAUCAAAUUUUGAUUUUAUUUUCGAAAAAUUUAUUUUUUUACGAAUAUAAAAAAAAUAUUUUUUUUCGAAAAGAAAAAUAUUUUUAAAUUAUUUUUUUCGAAAAUACAAAAAUAUAUUUUUUUUUGAAAAAAAAUGAUUUUUCUCAAAAAAAGCUGAUAUUGUUUUAUUAAAAAAAAAAAUUCAAAAAAAUAAGUGAUUUUUUUCAAAAAAGAAAAAUUUUAAAGGAAAAAGAAAUGGAUGGAUGGAUAUCCAUCCACUAAAAAUAUGAUAAUGGAUGGAUUGGAUGGAUUUUUAUUAAAAAGAAAAAUUUUAAAGGAAAAAGAAAUGGAUGGAUGGAUAUCCAUCCACUAAAAAUAUGAUAAUGGAUGGAUUGGAUGGAUUUUUAUUCUUAAUGGAUGGAUUGGAUUGGAUAUUUUUAAAAAAUUUUUAGUGGAUUGUUAAUGGAUAAUGGAUUGUUUUGAUCCAUCCAUUAACGAUCCAAUCCAUAUCCAUCCAAUCCAUCCAUUUUGCCACCCCUAGUAUAUAUAUUGUCUAAACAUCUCCUCGAAUGGAUGCAAUUAACCAAAGGAUGCCAUGGUUCAUGGUAAAGAAAAUAGAAAAGUUUCCAUGAAGAGAUGCAUAGAUUUUUGCCUCUAGUUCAGUGGUAAUUGAUUACCUUAAUAUGGGUAAUCGGUUACUUGCCUCCAACGUGCAAAAGUAUUUGGAUUUUUCCCAGAGUAAUCGAUUAUCUUAAAAUGGAUAGUCGGUUACUUGUCUCCAACGUGAUUUUUUUUAAAAUUUUACACAGAGUAAUCGGUUACCUUAAAAUGGAUAAUCGAUUACUUUGUCACAGAUUUGAUAAAUAGUUUAAAAAAUGAAGUGUUAUGAUUUCUUUGAUGCAUAAAAAUACUUUCAAUGAUUAUGGCAUGAAUGAGACAUGUUUUGAACACUUGUAUAAAUAUCUAGAGGUUAAGUGUUACACCUAUCCAUUUGAAAUACGAAUCUUCAUGAGUUUCAUCGAGACUUGAUCAUAUAGUUGAAAAUUUCCUUCAUGAGCUUGAAUCUUUAUCAAUCCUUUUUGUUAAUCAAUCUUAGACUUGUAGAGAAGUUUGUCGUCAUCAAAACAUUUGAGAAGUCAUGUCUUUACAAUCUCCCCCUUUUUAAUGAUGACAACCCAAAAGAAUGAAAGUUCGAUCCAAGAUGUUUCUCUAGCAAAUGCUCCCCCUUAAUUGAUGCUCCCCCUUAAUUUAUAAUUUAAGGAGUCUUUUGAAAUCUUCAUUUUGUUAGAGAGAAACAGAAAACAAGGAAAUAACACAAUAACAAUCUCUUCUCCCCCUUUGUCAUUAACAAAAAGGGUGAAAUAAGGAAAUAAGUAACAACUAAUAACACAAUAACAAUCUCUUCUCCCCCUUUGUCAUUAACAAAAAGGGUGAAAUAAGGAAAUAAGUAACAACAUGCAAACAACAUACACCAAGCACCACAUAACACAAAAGAUAAUGCAAACAUAACAUAAGAAGGCUAAUGGUCAUAGCAUAGUCUUAAAAGAAACUAGAAAUGUACUAACUUAAAACCAUAAACUAGGGAAUAAAAAAAAUGACCAACUCAAUCACUUUCCGACAUAUCGACUCCAUCAUCCUCUUCACCUUCUUCUUCACUUUCCUCAUCACCUUCUUCACUUGGGACAUGUUGACGGUUCAUAGAAAGGAAGAGUUUUCGAAGUGAUUUGAUUCCACGUUGGGUGACAUUGUGAUUAUGAUUCAUGGUGGUCUCAAUGAAACACAUCUUAUUAUAAAGCAUAGCAUUUGUGAUAUCACCUUCCGGAAUUGGUGGAGGAGCGGAAGAAGCGACCGUAUCCUUGUACCGAAACACUCCGUUUGGUCUGAUACUAAUGCUGGUGUUCUUAGUUGCGGUAAUCUCAUUGAUUUCACAGUUUAUAACCGUCAAAGGAGUCUUUGGUUCUCUUUGAAGCGGAACAUCAUGGAAUUCCAAAAUUCUUGAAACAACUCUACCAUAAGAAAGUCCACCACUUAGGGAUAAUUGAUGCUUCAUGUGAUGGUAAAUGACAUAACCCCAAUUAAUCUUCAUGUUCAUUUUCAAAGCUCUAAUAAGUUGCAGUUCAAGUUCACUAACUUGGGCAUGAUUUGGAUGUUUUGGAACCGAAACAUAAGCAAGAACAUAAUGGAGCAUCCUAUCACUCACAGAUAAGAGGUUAGCAAAUUUCACCACCCUUGAGGAUUCUGAUUUCUGUCGGCUCAUGAGGCUAGCCUGAGUGCCUCUAGAAAUUCAAACAAAAUAUUCCAAACUGUUAUAAUUGCUCUAGGCAUCAUUGUCGGGUUCAAUUCCGUGACGGAAUGCUUCACCUUCAGAAGGGAUUUCCAGACAGGUUCCCAAUUGUUUCAGAUCCAUACAAAUUUCAACAUUCUUAACCUUAGCAAUAAACACCAAAUCACCAAAAUCAUCGGUUCCAAACUUUAUAGUGGUAAAGAAAUCUCUUAUCAUAUCAGGAUAAUAAUCACCAAUUAACUUACAAACACUACCUUUAGGAUACCAUAAGCUAACGUUGGUUGUUCCUUUGAGAUACUUCAUGAUUCUUUUGACCGCCGUGAGAUGUGACUCCUUUGGAUUUGCUUGGAAGCGAGCACAUAAACACACGCUAAACAUUAUGUCAGGACGGCUUGCCGUCAAAUAUAAUAAAGAACCAAUCAUACCUCGAUACUUCGUAAUAUCAAUUGACACACCUGAUCGGUCACCAUUUCCAUUGAAUUCCCGCCGCUAAUCCGACAUAUUUUCAUCACCUUGGUAAGAUUUAUGGUUGUUUUAGUUGCAUUUGAGUCAAUUAGCAUGUUUUGUUGGUUUGGUAUUGCAUUGCAUUUGAUUACGAGUUUAUGCUAAAAAGAUCUCGUUUAUGCUUCGUUUGGUAGUGUUAUUGUUACAGGUUUAAAAGCAAGAAUGGUGAAGUUCUGGACACUCUGAAGGACAAAAAUAUGAGAAAACAGCAGGUCAACACGGGCACCCGUGUGCCACAACACUGCCCGUGUUGCUGAUCAAGCAGAGCAGAGAGGGAGCAGAAAACAGGGAUCAACACGGCCACCCGUGUACCACCACACGACCGUGUUGAUUAAAACAGUGCAUUAACACGGGCACCCGUGUGUAGGGACACGACCCGUGUUGUUGCCACUGUAACUUAUGCUGAAAAUAAUUAAUGUUGAAGAACAACACGGCCGCCCAUGUGCCACAACACGACCGUGUUGAUUGAACGCAGCUUGGAAAACCUAAUUUUUGCUGUGUGAACCGAUUCUGCUCAUUAAGGGUAGUUUGGACCUUUAGCUUGGAAGGGAGUCAUCUGAAGCUAUAAGAAGGCUUGGAAGAGAAAGAAGAAGAUAAUUUUUGACAGACGAACGAAAGCAUUGCAUUGGAGAAGAUAGCGAAUACGACGGAUUUGAAGCCGACGAGAUUCAAGGGUAGCAACCAUUGAAGAUCAAACUCUCCUAAUUCCUUGUAAUGUCUAAUCUUUACUUUAUGUGUUCUUUAAUAACUAUGAGAGGCUAAACCCCCUGAUGCUAGGGGGGUGGUCCUGAUGUUAUCACAUGUUAUGAAUUUGAACCUAUGAUUUCUUAAUUACUAUGUUACGUAUUUCAAUUCAAUUGUGUGAUGUUAUUAUGCUUUUGUAUCGGACAAAUACAAAUUGAUCUAUGACUUCCAAUAACAGGAUUGUGAUUGGUAGGGUUUUCACACAA